GGCUGGUCCGAUGGUAGUGGGUUAUCAGAACUUAUUAACGUGUCACUAAAGUUGGUAUACAACCCCCACUGCUAAAUUUGACUGGCUUUUA
rnacentral:Y_RNA from 1 species